CGUGAGAUGUUGGGUUAAGUCCCGCAACGAGCGCAACCCUUGAUCUUAGUUGCCAUCAUUUAGUUGGGCACUCUAAGGUGACUGCCGGUGACAAACCGGAGGAAGGUGGGGAUGACGUCAAAUCAUCAUGCCCCUUAUGACCUGGGCUACACACGUGCUACAAUGGACGAUACAAACGGUUGCCAACUCGCGAGAGGGAGCUAAUCCGAUAAAGUCGUUCUCAGUUCGGAUUGUAGGCUGCAACUCGCCUACAUGAAGCCGGAAUCGCUAGUAAUCGCGGAUCAGCAUGCCGCGGUGAAUACGUUCCCGGGCCUUGUACACACCGCCCGUCACACCACGAGAGGUUGUAACACCCGAAGUCGGUGGGGUAACCUUUAUGGAGCCAGCCGCCGAAGGUGGGAUAGAUGAUUGGGGUGAAGUCGUAACAAGGUAGCCGUAUCGGAAGGUGCGGCUGGAUCACCUCCUUUCUAAGGA
rnacentral:rRNA from 1 species